rnacentral:lncRNA from 1 species
AGCUCAUCCUCCGCGACUUGCAGAUCAAAGUGGUUCCCCUUGAGGGUCUUCACGGAGAUCUUCAUCGUGCACCGAUCCAAGAGCUCCGAAGCUCAAACGUCCACGCACCCCACAACCGGCGAACGCUGCUAAAGAACUUCUAGCUGCUGCUGCUCCUCGUCGUCCUCCUCCUCUUCCUUUGACACCACCACCACCAACGACAACAACAAGAACAGCACGACGUGCAAUUCCCAGCGACGGUGUUGAUCCUGCCCUCUUCCUCCAAGCCCUAGCUCUGUCUCUCUC